CCUACGGGUGGCAGCAGUGAGGAAUAUUGGUCAAUGGACGAGAGUCUGAACCAGCCAAGUAGCGUGAAGGACGACUGCCCUAUGGGUUGUAAACUUCUUUUAUCAAGGAAUAAAAUGAGGCACGUGUGCCUUUUUGCAUGUACUUUAUGAAUAAGGAUCGGCUAACUCCGUGCCAGCAGCCGCGGUAAUACGGAGGAUCCGAGCGUUAUCCGGAUUUAUUGGGUUUAAAGGGUGCGUAGAUGGGUUGUUAAGUCAGUUGUGAAAGUUUGCGGCUCAACCGUAAAAUUGCAAUUGAUACUGGCAGUCUUGAGUACAGUUGAGGUAAGCGGAAUUCGUGGUGUAGCGGUGAAAUGCUUAGAUAUCACGAAGAACCCCGAUUGCGAAGGCAGCAUACUAGACUGUGACUGACAUUGAUGCUCGAAAGUGUGGGUAUCAAACAGGAUUAGAUACCCUUGUAGUC
rnacentral:rRNA from 1 species